GUAAUAAAAAAUUAUUAAUAUUUAACUAUUUUUUUAACAUUACAACGAGAGAAUUCGAACUUACAUCUAUUUUUAUGUUGCAUGUGUAUUUACUAUAUAUCGAUAUAUAAUUUGAUAUACUUAUUAUCAUAUGUCAUUGGCCUUAUAAUCUUGCUUGAGAAUUACAUUAUAUAUCGAUACAAUUAAGAACUAAAACAUAGUAUUUGCUUCAAUAAAGCAAACCCGAUUGACCAUUAAUUUUGAUUCAGUAAAGAUCGUUAGAGAAAUUUCUAUUACAUUUUGCUGUCACGUAUUAAAAUUCAAUACAAAACUUUAGGUAUUAAAGAUAAUUAAUAUUAUUAUGAGAGAUUAGACUCGGAAUCAUGUUACCAUGACUCUGAAUCGACUAGCUUGAAUCGCUCGCGAACAUUAGAAAUGAAGGUUGAAGCUUUCAUAUCCACAUUUUCAUCUUCACCAUAGUCAAUGAAGCUUCUCCUCUGCUGACUAGUAGACACCUUUUGGACUGUUUGGCUAAUGGGAAAAUUUACAGAAUAUGGAGUAUAUGGGCUAGGGCUAACCUUGCUCCUGUAUUGUGCACUUGACUCCAUAGAACCAGUUGGGCCAAAUGGGCUAGGACUAACUUUUUUAGAGCUAAGGAGAGACUUAGCCUUGGCUAGCUUACCUCUAAGGAACCCUUUUCCCUUAUGGCUUGCUUCCAUUUUCUUGAAUUUAGAAGUGUGAGAUGUUCAAAAGUUUUAUAUUACUCUUAACUCAAUCGAG
rnacentral:lncRNA from 1 species